rnacentral:rRNA from 1 species
GACAGAGGUGCCGAGCGUUAGGCGGAAUCACUGGGCUUAAAGCGUGUGUAGGCGGAUCGUUAAGUACCUUGUGAAAUCCCACGGCUCAACCGUGGAACUGCUGGGUAUACUGGCGGUCUUGAGCCACCUAGGGGCGAGCGGAACAAGCGGUGGAGCGGUGAAAUGCGUAGAGAUCGGGAGGAACACCAGAGGCGAAGGCGGCAACCUGGACAAGCACUGACACUCAACUACGAAAAGCGUGGGGGAGCAAACAGG